UUUUUCUUUUAUACACAGAGUUUAGGCUCAGUCUAAUCCUAGGAAGGAGAAAUUACUAUUACUAGGAUUUUUUUUGGGUUUUGGUGUCAUUCGAUCUAUCUCAAGAAUAUGCAGUGUGAUUAAGUCUCUGAAGCAAUCAGAGGGUUCAACACAAGCUUACACUACUGGCACACGUGAGGAACACAUGUGUGGGUAUUAGUAAUAAGUCACCAACAAAAGGGGUAAAAGAGUCUUUUAUCCUUGGCUCUGUAUCUUCUUCUCUUAAUCACUCUUCUUCUUCGAGUCUGUAACAGAAAGUGAGGAAGCGUCACAGAGACGACGCAAGUCGACGAGAGACGUGAGCUAGAGUUAGAGAGAGAGAGAGUAAUCGUUUUGGGUUAAUGAGAGAGAAAGCUUGAGAGUGAUUGUAAUCCGGUGAGCGAUUGUAACAGUUACUUGUAUGAGCUCGAGUUUGAGCUAAGUUCUAGUGGAUUCCGGAGUCAAUCUCCGGCGAGAUGUAGGGUUCCACACCGGAGCCAGAACUCCUAAAAUCUCGGUGUUCUUUGUUUGCGUUCUUUCUCUUCUUUCAAAUCCGUCAAGUAAUUCGCGAGUUCUAAUCGGCAAAUAUAGGUUAGGUUUCACAUCCCUUUAUGUAAAUACUAUUUUUGCUCCAAUAAGCAUAUUUCUCUUUAUAUUUUCUAUUGUUCGAAUAAGCAAAUUUAUGUGAACAAUUUUCUUGCUUACU